AGAGUUUGAUCCUGGCUCAGGAUGAACGCUGGCGGUAUGCCUUAUACAUGCAAGUCGUACGAGAGUUUUUAACUCUGGUGGCGGACGGGUGAGUAACACGUAAGAAUUUGCCUUUAGGAGGGGGACAACAACUGGAAACGGUUGCUAAUACCCCAUAUGCUUUCGAGUGAAAUGGAUUUCCGCCUAAAGAGAAGCUUGCGGCUGAUUAGCUUGUUGGUAGGGUAAUGGCCUACCAAGGCGACGAUCAGUAUCUGGUUUGAGAGGACGAUCAGACACACUGGAACUGAGACACGGUCCAGACUCCUACGGGAGGCAGCAGUAGGGAAUUUUCCGCAAUGGGCGAAAGCCUGACGGAGCAAUACCGCGUGAGGGAUGACUGCCUAUGGGUUGUAAACCUCUUUUUUCAGGGAGGAAUAAAUGACGUGUACCUGAAGAAUAAGCAUCGGCUAACUCCGUGCCAGCAGCCGCGGUAAGACGGAGGAUGCAAGUGUUAUCCGGAAUCACUGGGCGUAAAGCGUCUGUAGGUGGCUCGACAAGUCAACUGUUAAAUCUUGAAGCUCAACUUCGAAAUCGCAGUCGAAACUAUCGAACUAGAGUAUAGUAGAGGUAAAGGGAAUUUCCAGUGGAGCGGUGAAAUGCGUAGAGAUUGGAAAGAACACCGAUGGCGGAGGCACUUUACUGGGCUAUUACUGACACUCAGAGACGAAAGCUAGGGUAGCAAAUGGGAUUAGAUACCCCAGUAGUCCUAGCCGUAAACAAUGGAUACUAGGUGUUGAACAGAUCGACCUGUGCAGUACCAAAGCUAACGCGUUAAGUAUCCCGCCUGGGAAGUAUGCACGCAAGUGUGAAACUCAAAGGA
rnacentral:rRNA from 1 species